GCCGGAGUGGUGGAACUGGCAGACACAAGGGACUUAAAAUCCCUCGUCCGCAAGGGCGUACGGGUUCAAAUCCCGUCUCCGGCA
rnacentral:tRNA from 2 species